UACGGAGGAUGCAAGCGUUAUCCGGAAUGAUUGGGCGUAAAGCGUCCGCAGGUGGCAAUGUAAGUCUGCUGUUAAAGAGUGAGGCUCAACCUCAUAAGAGCAGUGGAAACUACAUAGCUAGAGUGCGUUCGGGGCAAAGGGAAUUCCUGGUGUAGCGGUGAAAUGCGUAGAUAUCUGGAGGAAUACCGGUGGCGAAGGCGGCAUCCUGGACCGACAUUGACGCUGAACGGCGAAAGCUAGGGGAGCAAACGGG
rnacentral:rRNA from 1 species